rnacentral:rRNA from 1 species
ACAUACUAAGAACUUUCCAGAGAUGGAUUGGUGCCUUCGGGAACUUAGAUACAGGUGCUGCAUGGCUGUCGUCAGCUCGUGUCGUGAGAUGUUGGGUUAAGUCCCGCAACGAGCGCAACCCUUUUCCUUAUUUGCCAGCGGGUUAAGCCGGGAACUUUAAGGAUACUGCCAGUGACAAACUGGAGGAAGGCGGGGACGACGUCAAGUCAUCAUGGCCCUUACGGCCAGGGCUACACACGUGCUACAAUGGUCGGUACAAAGGGUUGCUACCUCGCGAGAGGAUGCUAAUCUCAAAAAGCCGAUCGUAGUCCGGAUCGCAGUCUGCAACUCGACUGCGUGAAGUCGGAAUCGCUAGUAAUCGCGGAUCAGAAUGCCGCGGUGAAUACGUUCCCGGGCCUUGUACACACCGCCCGUCACACCAUGGGAGUUUGUUGCACCAGAAGUAGGUAGUCUAACCGCAAGGAGGACGCUUACCACGGUGUGGCCGAUGACUGGGGUGAAGUCGUAACAAGGUAGGCGUAGAUGA